GAGUUUGAUCGUGGCUCAGAUUGAACGCUGGCGGCAGGCCUAACACAUGCAAGUCGAGCGGAUGACGGGAGCUUGCUCCUUGAUUCAGCGGCGGACGGGUGAGUAAUGCCUGGGAAUCUGCCUGGUAGCGGGGGAUAACGUUCGGAAACGGACGCUAAUACCGCAUACGUCCUACGGGAGAAAGCAGGGGACCUUCGGGCCUUGCGCUAUCAGAUGAGCCUAGGUCGGAUUAGCUAGUUGGUGAGGUAAUGGCUCACCAAGGCGACGAUCCGUAACUGGUCUGAGAGGAUGAUCAGUCACACUGGAACUGAGACACGGUCCAGACUCCUACGGGAGGCAGCAGUGGGGAAUAUUGGACAAUGGGCGAAAGCCUCCGAUCCAGCCAUGCCGCGUGUGUGAAGAAGGUCUUCGGAUUGUAAAGCACUUUAAGUUGGGAGGAAGGGCAGUUACCUAAUACGUGAUUGUUUUGACGUUACCGACAGAAUAAGCACCGGCUAACUCUGUGCCAGCA
rnacentral:rRNA from 1 species